UGGCAAUAAGAGCGAAGAUGAAAAAAAAAAAAAAAGAAGAAGAAGAAGGAAGUGUCUCCGUGCACAGAGAACUGCUUCUCCGUGACACAGAGAGAGCACUCCGUGUGACAAAGCUCUAUUUUUUUGUUUUUUCCUUCCUUCUCUUUGGCGAUCCAUUUAUGUAAAUCUGUUUGUUAUUAGAAUCCAUCUGGGCUCUUCUUCAAUUACUUCUCUAUCCACUUUCUUCUUUCCGCAGUCACACUCCACGCCGGCUCGCUUAUUUUAUCGCCAAAUCGUCGACAUCGAUUGUUGGUUUUUAGUUGCCAACACCGGUCGCCGAUUGUCUACGGUAAAGGAUCGCUGCCGUUUUUCACUGCAAAACCUCUGCCUUGUGACCCUCAUCUUUGCCCAAAUACCCUUCUAGCAUGGAGUUUGAUGCCAAGGUUCACGAUGUGGAGGCAAGAAUGCAAAGAGCUGCUGGUGGAAAAGGAGGUGGAGUUGAAUCCAACA